rnacentral:rRNA from 1 species
UAGAUUACUUUUUAAGUAUUUUUUAAAGAAAAAAUAAUUUUUAUAAUAGUUUAUUAGUAUUGUAAAAUAAAAUUGAAAUAAAUUGAAAAAUUAAUUUUUUAUAAGAAAAUUUUAUUUAUUGUACCUUUUGUAUCAGGGUGUAUUAAUUAAUAUUUAAUUUUAAUUAAAUUUCUCGAUUUUAAAAGAGUUAAUAAAUUAUGUAAGUUAUUGUAGUAAAACUAUUUAUAAUAAUUUAUUAGAAAUGAAAUGUUAUUCGUUUUUAAAGGUAUCUAGUUUUUUCAGAAUUAAAUUUAAUUUAGUUAUGUUAAUUUAUUAGUUUAAUUUUUAAAAUUAAUAAUAUUAAUAUAAUAAAAUUAUAUGGGAUAAGCUGUAUAAUUUAUUUAAAAAUUAUUAAAUUAAAUUAAUAAAUAUAUGCUUAUAAAUAGCAAUUAUUAAUAAAUAUGUUAUAAUUUAUAUUAUAAAAUUUAUGAUUUAAUAUAUUUUAAAUUUGUAUGAAAAAAUUUUUUAAAAUUAUUUUAAAAAAGUUAUAAUGAUAUAAUUAGUAUAUUUUUUUGUAGUAAUAUAUUAUUUUGAUAGGUUAAAUUAAAGAAUUCGGCAAAAUUUAAUAUUCACCUGUUUAACAAAAACAUGUCUUUUAGAAUUUAAUUUAAAGUCUAACCUGCCCACUGAUUUAUUAAAUGGCCGCAGUAUUCUAACUGUGCAAAGGUAGCAUAAUCAUUAGUCUUUUAAUUGAAGGCUGGAAUGAAUGGUUGAAUGAAAUAUUAACUGUUUCAAUUUAAUUUUAUAUAUAAUUUUAUUUUUUAGUCAAAAAGCUAAAAUUUUUUUAAAAGACGAGAAGACCCUAUAAAUCUUUAUAAUUAUUAUAUUAUUAAUAUUUAGAAAAUUUAAUUUUUAAUAAAUUUAAUUAUUUUAUUGGGGUGAUAUUAAAAUUUAUAAAACUUUUAAUUAAUUUUUUACAUAAAUUAAUGAAUUAUUGAUCCAUUUUUAUGAUUAUAAAAUUAAGUUACUUUAGGGAUAACAGCGUAAUUUUUUUAGAGAGUUCAUAUUGAUAAAAAAGAUUGCGACCUCGAUGUUGGAUUAAGAUAUAGAUUUAGGUGCAGCAGUUUAAAUCUGAAGUCUGUUCGACUUAUAAUUUCUUACAUGAUCUGAGUUCAGACCGGCGUAAGCCAGGUUGGUUUCUAUCUUUAAAAAAUAAAAUAUUUUAGUACGAAAGGACCAAAUAUUUAAAUGAUACAUUUUAAGCAAUGAAUAUUAUUAAU